GUCCCAAGAUGUCUCAAACUCUAAGUUUACAUGAAAUAACCUUUAAAUACAGAUGACAGCAUAGAAGCAAGUACUAUUCUGAUACAACCACCUGAAAAUGCUACAGCACCUGUUUCUGAUGAGGACUCCGGGGACGAAGAAGGUGGAACAAUAAAAAAUCUGCCAGGUUCUUUGUUGCGCGCAACUGCAAAUCUUAUAAAGGUGAUUCUGAUGCAGAGUCUAACUCUGAUGAUCCCUCAUACGCACUUAAAUUUGACUCUCCUGACGAAGAUCCAUCUACGUCUACCGCGCAGCAACUUCCACCAUCAAGGAGGAGGAAAGUGACAAAAAUUGUUUGCAAAUGGAAGAGAGGGACCUAACUGCACAACUUGUAGCAGGUAGAAUUACAGAACCACCAAACGAUUUAUUCACCGAAAUGAGAACUCCCACAGAAAUUCUGGAACUUUUUCAUGAUGACGAAGUCGUUGAACUCAUUGUCAAGUACUCCAACUUACAGGCUCGAAGUUAAGGGUGUACAUCUUGGCUUGACUAGCUCCGAAUUCAAAUAUUUUCUGGGAAUUAUUUUUCUGAGUGGUUACAUCUCAGUUCCUAGAAGCCGUAUGUUUUGGGAACAACAACAACAACAAACCAGAUGCGCAUAAUGUACUGGUUAUUGCUGCCAUGAGACGUGACCGCUUUGAAACUAAAUUUUCUAAUUUGCAUGUUGCUGACGAUGCAAAUUUGGAUCCAAUGGACAAAUUUUCCAAGUUGCGACUUCUCAUAAGCAAACGUAAUGAGAGAUGUAUGAAAUUUGUUCCAAAUGAGACAUAUUUCAGCUUUAAUGAAUCCAUGGUUCCUUAUUCUGGUUGUCACAGGUGCAAACAAUUUAUUCAGGGAAAGCCCAUUAUGUUUGGCUGUAAGUUUUGUUGUGGUGCCACAUGUCUGUGCCACAUUUGCUGCUUUCAGCCGUAUCAGGGUAAAAACCCAAAUACUAAAUAUGAAGAAUACGGUGUUGGUGCAUCACUUAUUCAUAAGUUUAGUGAGGGACUUACACACACCCUGGACAAUAUCAUUUUGUAUUCGAUAACUUUUUCACCAGUAUUGCACUUCUUGAUAAGCUCAGUUCAAUGGAACAUCAGGCAACAGGUACAGUGAGAAAGGAUCGCAUUAACAAAGCCCCACUGGAAUCAGAUGUAGCUCUAAAGAAAAAAGAAAUCAUAUUCAAUUACGGAAUUGAUGGCAAAGGCAAUGUUGUCUG
rnacentral:lncRNA from 1 species